GAGUUUGAUCAUGGCUCAGAUUGAACGCUGGCGGCAUGCCUUACACAUGCAAGUCGAACGGUAACGCGGGGCAACCUGGCGACGAGUGGCGAACGGGUGAGUAAUACAUCGGAACGUGCCCAGUAGUGGGGGAUAGCCCGGCGAAAGCCGGAUUAAUACCGCAUACGACCUACGGGUGAAAGCGGGGGACCGCAAGGCCUCGCGCUAUUGGAGCGGCCGAUGUCAGAUUAGGUAGUUGGUGGGGUAAAGGCCUACCAAGCCGACGAUCUGUAGCUGGUCUGAGAGGACGACCAGCCACACUGGGACUGAGACACGGCCCAGACUCCUACGGGAGGCAGCAGUGGGGAAUUUUGGACAAUGGGGGCAACCCUGAUCCAGCCAUGCCGCGUGCGGGAAGAAGGCC
rnacentral:rRNA from 1 species